rnacentral:rRNA from 1 species
AAAGGAACUCGGCAAAUUAGCACCGUAACUUCGGGAGAAGGUGCGCCCCGGUAGUGUGUAGUGGCUUGCCCGUGAAGCACGAUGGGGUUGCAGUGAAUUGGUGGCUGCGACUGUUUAAUAAAAACACAGCACUCUGCAAACACGAAAGUGGACGUAUAGGGUGUGACGCCUGCCCGGUGCCGGAAGGUUAAGUGAUGGGGUGCAAGCUCUUGAUCGAAGCCCCGGUAAAUGGCGGCCGUAACAAUAACGGUCCUAAGGUAGCGAAAUUCCUUGUCGGGUAAGUUCCGACCUGCACGAAUGGCGUAACGAUGGCCACACUGUCUCCUCCUGAGACUCAGCGAAGUUGAAGUGGUUGUGAAGAUGCAAUCUACCCGCUGCUAGACGGAAAGACCCCAUGCACCUUUACUGUAGCUUUGCAUUGGACUUUGAUGAGACUUGUGUAGGAUAGGUGGGAGGCUUUGAUGGCGGGAUGCUAGUUCCGCUGGAGCCGUCCUUGAAAUACCACCCUGGUGUCAUUGAGGUUCUAACCUAGAUCCAUUAUCUGGAUCGGGGACCGUGCAUGGCAGGCAGUUUGACUGGGGCGGUCUCCUCCCAAAGGGUAACGGAGGAGUUCGAAGGUUCGCUAGGUACGGUCGGACAUCGUACUGAUAGUGCAUUGGCAAAAGCGAGCUUGACUGCGAGACGGACAUGUCGAGCAGGUGCGAAAGCAGGACAAAGUGAUCCGGUGGUUCUGUAUGGAAGGGCCAUCGCUCGACGGAUAAAAGGUACGCUGGGGAUAACAGGCUGAUGACUCCCAAGAGUUCAUAUCGACGGAGACGUUUGGCACCUCGAUGUCGGCUCAUCACAUCCUGGGGCUGUAACCGGUCCCAAGGGUAUGGCUGUUCGCCAUUUAAAGUGGUACGUGAGCUGGGUUUAAAACGUCGUGAGACAGUUUGGUCCCUAUCUGCAGUGGGCGUUGGAGAUUUGACGGGGGCUGCUCCUAGUACGAGAGGACCGGAGUGGACGCACCCCUGGUGUACCGGUUGUGACGCCAGUCGCAUCGCCGGGUAGCUAUGUGCGGAAGAGAUAACCGCUGAAAGCAUCUAAGCGGGAAACUUGCCUGAAGAUGAGAUCUCCCGGAGGCUUGACCUCCCUGAAGGGUCGUGGAAGACCACCACGUUGAUAGGCCGGGUGUGGAAGCGCAGUAAUGCGUUAAGCUAACCGGUACUAAUUGCC